AAUACAUCGGAAUCUACCUUUUCGUGGGGGAUAACGUAGGGAAACUUACGCUAAUACCGCAUACGACCUACGGGUGAAAGUGGGGGACCGCAAGGCCUCACGCGAUUAGAUGAGCCGAUGUCCGAUUAGCUAGUUGGCGGGGUAAUGGCCCACCAAGGCGACGAUCGGUAGCUGGUCUGAGAGGAUGAUCAGCCACACUGGAACUGAGACACGGUCCAGACUCCUACGGGAGGCAGCAGUGGGGAAUAUUGGACAAUGGGCGCAAGCCUGAUCCAGCCAUACCGCGUGGGUGAAGAAGGCCUUCGGGUUGUAAAGCCCUUUUGUUGGGAAAGAAAUCCUAUCGGUUAAUAACCGGUGGGGAUGACGGUACCCAAAGAAUAAGCACCGGCUAACUUCGUGCCAGCAGCCGCGGUAAUACGAAGGGUGCAAGCGUUACUCGGAAUUACUGGGCGUAAAGCGUGCGUAGGUGGUGGUUUAAGUCCGUUGUGAAAGCCCUGGGCUCAACCUGGGAAUUGCAGUGGAUACUGGAUCACUAGAGUGUGGUAGAGGGAUGCGGAAUUUCUGGUGUAGCAGUGAAAUGCGUAGAGAUCAGAAGGAACAUCCGUG
rnacentral:rRNA from 1 species